GUAAAUAAUUAAGGGCGUAUGGUGGAUGCCUAGGCUCUCAGAGGCGAAGAAGGACGUGAUAAGCUGCGAAAAGCUCCGUUUAGGUGCAAAUAACCUUUGAUGCGGAGAUCUCCGAAUGGGAUAACCCAAUAUGUUGAAGACAUAUUAUACCGUAAGGUAGGCAAACGCAGGGAACUGAAACAUCUAAGUACCUGCAGGAGAAGAAAACAAACGUGAUUCCCCCAGUAGCGGCGAGCGACCGGGGAAAAGCCCAAACCGUUAUUGUUUCGGCAUUAACGGGGUAGUAGGACUGCAAGCUUGAUGAAAUAAAUGAAAUGGAACACCUUGGAAAAUGUGAUCACAGAGGGUGAUAAUCCCGUACAUGCAAGUUUAUGAAUCAUAGCAGACUCCUGAGUAAGUCGGGACACGUGUAAUCCUGACCGAAUCCGCCGGGACCAUCCGGCAAGGCUAAAUACUCCUGAGAGACCGAUAGUGAACCAGUACCGUGAGGGAAAGGUGAAAAGCACUUCGAACAGAAGAGUGAAAUAGUCCCUGAAACCAUACGCCUACAAGCAGUCGGAGCCGCUUCGUGCGGUGACGGCGUGCCUUUUGCAUAAUGAGCCUACGAGUUACUCAUCACCAGCGAGGUUAAGUACUUCAGGUACGUAAGCCGAAGCGAAAGCGAGUCUGAAUAGGGCGUCAAGUUGGUGGUGGUAGACGCGAAACCUUAGUGAUCUACCCAUGGGCAGGGUGAAGGUUUGGUAACACAAACUGGAGGCCCGAACCGGUAAACGUUGAAAAGUUUUCGGAUGACCUGUGGGUAGGGGUGAAAGGCCAAUCAAACUGGGAAAUAGCUCGUACUCUCCGAAAUGCAUUUAGGUGCAGCCUCUGUUGUUUUGUUCUAGAGGUAGAGCUACUGAUUGGAUGCGAGGGCUUCACCGCCUAUCAAAUCCGGCCAAACUCCGAAUGCUAGAACAUGAAGACAGGGAGUGAGCCAGCGGGUGCUAAGGUCCGUUGACGAAAGAGGGAGAACUCAGACCAUCAGCUAAGGUCCCCAAUUAUAUGCUAAGUUGGAAUUAAAACGGGGUGGGACUGCUUAGACAGCUAGGAUGUUGGCUUGGAAGCAGCCAUUCAUUUAAAGAGUGCGUAACAGCUCACUAGUCGAGCGGUCCUGCAUGGAUAAUACGCGGGCAUAAGCAUAUAACCGAAGCUAUGGGAUUGUAGAUGAUACAAUCGGUAGGAGAGCAUUCCAUUCAGCGUAGAAGCAGUAUCGUGAGGUAUUGUGGAGCGGAUGGAAAAGCAAAUGUAGGCAUAAGUAACGAUAAUGCGGGUGAGAACCCCGCACGCCGAAAGAUCAAGGAUUCCCCGGCAAUGUCAAUCAUCCGGGGGUAAGUCGGAUCCUAAGGGUAAGCCGAGUGGCGAUCCCGAUGGCAAACAGGUUAAUAUUCCUGUACUGAUCAUAACUGCGAUGCAGCGACGCAGAGGUGACACUGCUGCGUACUGACGGAAUAGUACGUUGAAACCCGUAUUCUUUGAUACCGGUAGUGAAGCACGCCGGUAGAGAUGAAAGGUGAUAGUACCGCAAUGCUUCGGUUGCGCGGAUAACGCAGGUAAGCUGACUGCCAAGAAAACCUGCUAAGCUUCAGGUAAUGAUCAUCCGUACUGUAAACGGACACACGUGAUCAGGUAGAAAAUACUAAGGCGCUCGAGAGAUUCAUGGUUAAGGAACUAGGCAAAAUGGUCCUGUAACUUCGGGAUAAAGGACGCUCUUGUGAAAGAGCCGCAGAUAAUAGGCCCAGGCGACUGUUUACCAAAAACACAUGGCUAUGCUAAUUCGCAAGAAGAUGUAUAUGGCCUGACACCUGCCCGGUGCCGGAAGGUUAAGAGGAGAGCUCAGAGGUAACUCGAAGGUUUGAAUUGAAGCCCCGGUAAACGGCGGCCGUAACUAUAACGGUCCUAAGGUAGCGAAAUUCCUUGUCGGGU
rnacentral:rRNA from 1 species